rnacentral:rRNA from 2 species
GCUCCCUGAUAUCAGCGGCGGACGGGUGAGUAACACGUGGGUAACCUGCCUGUAAGACUGGGAUAACUCCGGGAAACCGGGGCUAAUACCGGAUAACUCAUUUCCUCGCAUGAGGAAAUGUUGAAAGGUGGCUUCUGCUUACCCUUUCCGAUGGACCCCCCGCGCCAUAACUAAUUUGUGAAGUAACGGCUCCCCCAGGGCACCAAGCCUAACCCAACUGAAAAGGUGAACCGCCCCCCUGGGAAUGAAACACCGGCCCAACACCUACCGGAAGCAACCAUAAGGAAUCCUCCCCCAUGGAACAAAGUCCGAACGAACCACGCCCCCUGAAUGAUGAAAGGUUUCCGAACCUAAAGCUCUGGUGGUAAGGAAAAACCAGUGGCGUUCCAAUAAGGCGGCACCUUUACCGUACCUAACCCGAAAGCCACCGGUAACUACCUGGCCACCGCCGCCGUAAUACCUAAGUGGCAAGCGUUGGCCGGAAUUAUUGGGCGUAAAGCGCGCGCAAGUGGUUCCCUUAGUCCGAAGGUGAAGCCCACCGCUCCACCGUGGAAGGUCCUUGGAAACUGGGGGACUUGAAUGGCAAAAAAGAAAGUUGAAUUCCAGUGGAACCGUGAAAUGGGUAAAAUUUGGAAGAACCCCGUGGCGAAGCGACUUUCGGGCUGUACUGACCUGAGGCCGAAACCUGGGGAGCAACCGGAUUAAAACCCUGGUAGUCCCGCCGUAACGAUGAUGCUAAUGUUAU